CAAGUCGAACGAGACUUUUUAUUUGAUGCUUGCAUCUUUUAAAAAGUUGAGCGUUGAACGGGUGAGUAACACGUGGGUAACCUGCCUUAAAGUGCUGGAUAACACUUGGAAACAGGUGCUAAUACCGCAUAACCAUCAAAACCACCUGGUUUUGAUGUUAAAGAUGGUUCUGCUAUCGCUUUAAGAUGGACCCGCGGCGUAUUAGCUAGUUGGUGAGGUAACGGCUUACCAAGGCAAUGAUACGUAGCCGAACUGAGAGGUUGAUCGGCCACAUUGGGACUGAGACACGGCCCAAACUCCUACGGGAGGCAGCAGUAGGGAAUCUUCCACAAUGGACGAAAGUCUGAUGGAGCAACGCCGCGUGAGUGAAGAAGGUUUUCGGAUCGUAAAACUCUGUCGUCAGAGAAGAACGUGUGUGAGAGUAACUGUUCACGCAGUGACGGUAUCUGACCAGAAAGUCACGGCUAACUACGUACCAGCAGCCGCGGUAAUACGUAGGUGGCAAGCGUUGUCCGGAUUUAUUGGGCGUAAAGGGAACGCAGGCGGUCUUUUAAGUCUGAUGUGAAAGCCUUCGGCUUAACCGAAGUCGGGCAUUGGAAACUGGGAGACUUGAGUGCAGAAGAGGAGAGUGGAACUCCAUGUGUAGCGGUGAAAUGCGUAGAUAUAUGGAAGAACACCAGUGGCGAAAGCGGCUCUCUGGUCUGUAACUGACGCUGAGGUUCGAAAGCGUGGGUAGCAAACAGGAUUAGAUACCCUGGUAGUCCACGCCGUAAACGAUGAAUGCUAAGUGUUGGAG
rnacentral:rRNA from 1 species